rnacentral:other from 1 species
CAAAUCCUGCUUUGUGCGUUGCUUGUUGAUUUUUAAACCACAGUGUGUUUUUGGGAGCCACUGCUUAGAUUGCAGAUAUCAGGCCGUCAUGGAACGGAAGGUAGAAACAGUUUAGCUGACACCCACCUGCGAGCAGCGGGUAUUAAAAACACCAAGUGGACGGCUAAGUGGGUUACUU